GGGCAGUAAUGUCACUGUCGUACGGGUGCGUAACGCGUAUGCAACCUACCUAUCACUGGGGGAUAGCCCGGGGAAACCCGGAUUAAUACCGCAUAAAACAGGGGCACCGCAUGGUGAUAUUUGUUAAAGAUUUAUUGGUGAUAGAUGGGCAUGCGUUCGAUUAGCUAGUUGGCGGGGUAACGGCCCACCAAGGCGACGAUCGAUAGGGGAGCUGAGAGGUUGAUCCCCCACACGGGCACUGAGAUACGGGCCCGACUCCUACGGGAGGCAGCAGUAGGGAAUAUUGGGCAAUGGAUGCAAGUCUGACCCAGCCAUGCCGCGUGCCGGAUGAAGGCCCUCAGGGUUGUAAACGGCUUUUAUUCGGGAAGAAGAGCAGGGAUGCGUCCUUGUGUGACGGUACCGAAUGAAUAAGCACCGGCUAACUCCGUGCCAGCAGCCGCGGUAAUACGGAGGGUGCGAGCGUUGUCCGGAUUUAUUGGGUUUAAAGGGUGCGUAGGUGGCUGUUUAAGUCAGUGGUGAAAUACGGUUGCUCAACAAUCGAGGUGCCAUUGAUACUGAAUAGCUUGAAAUAAUUGGAGGCUGCCGGAAUGGAUGGUGUAGCGGUGAAAUGCAUAGAUAUCAUCCAGAACACCGAUUGCGAAGGCAGGUGGCUACGAUUGGUUUGACACUGAGGCACGAAAGCAUGGGGAGCAAACAGGAUUAGAUACCCUGGUAGUCCAUGCUGUAAACGAUGAGGACUCGUUGUUUGACGGUAACGUUGAGCGACUU
rnacentral:rRNA from 1 species